UACGGAGGAUGCAAGCGUUAUCCGGAAUGAUUGGGCGUAAAGCGUCCGCAGGUGGCAAUGUAAGUCUGCUGUCAAAGCGUCUGGCUCAACCAGAUAAAGGCAGUGGAAACUACAUAGCUAGAGUAAGGUAGGGGUAGAGGGAAUUCCUGGUGUAGCGGUGAAAUGCGUAGAGAUCAGGAAGAACACCGUUGGCGAAAGCGCUCUGCUGGACCUUAACUGACACUGAGGGACGAAAGCUAGGGGAGCGAAUGGG
rnacentral:rRNA from 1 species